AGGCUGAUAUACUGGGUUAUUGUGUUUUACUCCAUCAGUACAGACUAGAGGAGACGUCAGAGAGGACAGAAGGCUGAUAUACUGGGUUAUUGUGUUUUACUCCAUCAGUACAGACUAGAGGAGACGACAGAAGGCUGAUAUACUGGGUUAUUGUGUUUUACUCCAUCAGUACAGACUAGAGGAGACGUCAGAGAGGACAGAAGGCUGAUAUACUGGGUUAUUGUGUUUUACUCCAUCAGUACAGACUAGAGGAGACGUCAGAAGGAUGAUAUACUGGGUUAUUGUGUUUUACUCCAUCAGUACAGACUAGAGGAGACGUCAGAGAGGACAGAUGGCUGAUAUACUGGGUUAUUGUGUUUUACUCCAUCAGUACAGACCAGAGGAGACGUCAGAGAGGACAGAAGGCUGAUAUACUGGGUUAUUGUGUUUUACUCCAUCAGUACAGACUAGAGGAGACGUCAGAGAGGACAGAAGGCUGAUAUACUGGGUUGUUGUGUUUUACUCCAUCAGUACAGACUAGAGGAGACGUCAGAAGGCUGAUAUACUGGGUUGUUGUGUUUUACUCCAUCAGUACAGACUAGAGGAGACGUCAGAGAGGACAGAAGGCUGAUAUACUGGGUUGUUGUGUUUUACUCCAUCAGUACAGACUAGAGGAGACGUCAGAGAGGACAGAAUGCCUAUGACAGGUGGUACAUCGAGACAUUACACUGACAAAAAGCCUUAUGAAAAUGUCAUCAUCUACCAACAGAUAAACAGAAUGCUUGUCAACAACAGCGUUUUGUGGAGAAACCAAUAUUAAAACCACACUAAACUGUAUGAAGUUUAGACAUAUGUAGUAGGUGACAGAAAGGCAUACAUUUAUCAAUGUACCCAGCGUUGUCUGAACCUUGAGUUUACACAGAUCCCUCUAGUGGAGUCCCAUUGUAGUAACUCACCCUGGCCACCCAAACCCCUCUACCAAGCAGUAGAACUGGAGCUGCAAAACUAAGGCCUGCCAUUCAACAAGUAUUAGGUCCUUCAUGUCAACCAAUUCACAUCACAGACACACACAAGCCUAAGGGGAUGGUAUUUCAGCGAGCCAUGUAGCUGUCAGUUUUGUUUUUAUGUCCCUUAAAAAGGGACACACCAAACUGGCAGUUACGACUGUUCCCCAACUCAAGGAUGCCAUUUUGACAAGGGCAACAGUAGCUGCAUGUUCACAGGCACAUUCACAG
rnacentral:lncRNA from 1 species